rnacentral:rRNA from 1 species
UACGUAGGGUGCAAGCGUUGUCCGGAAUUAUUGGGCGUAAAGAGCUCGUAGGUGGUUCGGUAAGUCGGGUGUGAAACCUCCAGGCUCAACCUGGAGACGCCACCCGAUACUGCUGUGACUGGAGUCCGGUAGGGGAGCGUGGAAUUCCCGGUGUAGCGGUGAAAUGCGCAGAUAUCGGGAAGAACACCCGUGGCGAAGGCGGUUCUCUGGGACGGUACUGACGCUGAGACGCGAAAGCGUGGGGAGCGAACAGG